UAGUGCGAGUCUUAAUACAAAAGCCAUCAAUAGAAAAAUGCAGAGUGGAUAUUCCAAGGAUCAUGGCUAGCUCAACAGAGAGUCCAAUUCAGCUAAAGUGCCCCAAAGACUGGCUGCCACACCAAAACAAAUGCCUACAAUUUUCUCAAGAGACCAGUGUUUGGAAGGAAGGUCUAUCUGACUGCGCUAGAAAAGAAGCCACUUUGCUGCUCAUUCAGGAUGAAGAAGAACUAAGAUUUGUAAAGAACUCUGCAAGGGAAAAAGGCAAUUCAUUUUGGAUUGGACUAAGUUACUCCAUGUCAGAGAAGCACUGGAGAUGGAUAAACGGCUCCACUUUAAGUUCUGNGGUA